UACGUAGGCAGCAAGCGUUGUUCGGAAUUACUGGGCGUAAAGGGCGCGUAGGCGGCCUGCUAAGUCGAACGUGAAAUCCCCGGGCUCAACCCGGGAACUGCGUCCGAUACUGGCAGGCUUGAAUCCGGGAGAGGGAUGUGGAAUUCCAGGUGUAGCGGUGAAAUGCGUAGAUAUCUGGAGGAACACCGGUGGCGAAGGCGGCAUCCUGGACCGGCAUUGACGCUGAGGCGCGAAAGCCAGGGGAGCAAAGCGGG
rnacentral:rRNA from 1 species